AACGAACGCUGGCGGCAGGCUUAACACAUGCAAGUCGAACGCCCCGCAAGGGGAGUGGCAGACGGGUGAGUAACGCGUGGGAACGUGCCCAAAGGUACGGAACAACUCCGGGAAACUGGAGCUAAUACCGUAUGUGCCCGCAAGGGGAAAGAUUUAUCGCCUUUGGAUCGGCCCGCGUCUGAUUAGCUAGUUGGUAGGGUAACGGCCUACCAAGGCUACGAUCAGUAGCUGGUCUGAGAGGAUGAUCAGCCACACUGGGACUGAGACACGGCCCAGACUCCUACGGGAGGCAGCAGUGGGGAAUAUUGGACAAUGGGCGAAAGCCUGAUCCAGCCAUGCCGCGUGAGUGAUGAAGGCCUUAGGGUUGUAAAGCUCUUUCGGCGGGGACGAUAAUGACGGUACCCGCAGAAGAAGCCCCGGCUAACUUCGUGCCAGCCGCCGCGGUAACAC
rnacentral:rRNA from 1 species